UAUUCCCUGCCCCGUUCGAGGCACGCUGGGUUACUUCUUGAGCCUAAUCUAAAACCCCGGGAGCAUCAGACCACCGAUGUGCGCAAGCCCGCCCGGAGCGGGAAGCCUGAUUCGGGGUUCGCUGAUCCCACCUGAACCAUACGGUUCAAGGGCGAAAGCGGGUUACGGCGAUGGCGGGGAAUAC
rnacentral:other from 1 species